rnacentral:rRNA from 1 species
CCUUCGGGAGGCAGCAGUGGGGAAUAUUGGACAAUGGGCGAAAGCCUGAUCCAGCCAUGCCGCGUGUGUGAAGAAGGCCUUCGGGUUGUAAAGCACUUUCAGUGGGGAAGAAAGCCUUGGGGCUAAUACCCUCGAGGAAGGACAUCACCCACAGAAGAAGCACCGGCUAACUCCGUGCCAGCAGCCGCGGUAAUACGGAGGGUGCGAGCGUUAAUCGGAAUUACUGGGCGUAAAGCGCGCGUAGGCGGUCUGAUAAGCCGGUUGUGAAAGCCCCGGGCUCAACCUGGGAACGGCAUCCGGAACUGUCAGGCUAGAGUGCAGGAGAGGAAGGUAGAAUUCCCGGUGUAGCGGUGAAAUGCGUAGAGAUCGGGAGGAAUACCAGUGGCGAAGGCGGCCUUCUGGACUGACACUGACGCUGAGGUGCGAAAGCGUGGGUAGCAAACAGGAUUAGAUACCCGAGUAGUC